rnacentral:misc_RNA from 1 species
UCGCGGCUUAUCACCGGCAGUCCCCUUAGAGUGCCCAACUAAAUGAUGGCAACUAAGGGCGAGGGUUGCGCUCGUUGCGGGACUUAACCCAACAUCUCACGACACGAGCUGACGACAGCCAUGCACCACCUGCACACCAACCACAAGGGAAGCCCUAUCUCUAGGGAUGUCUGGCGCAUGUCAAGCCCAGGUAAGGUGGGGAUGACGUUGGAGGAAUUCCA